CUGACAGCUCUGUCCCUGCAUCCCAGGCCACUGCUCUGGCCCCAUCAACAUCCUCAGCAUCUCCAGACUCCCUGCAGCUCUAGACCACAUCCCUGCACAGAUCUGCUCUUCCUGCCAUCGUCCCUGAAAGACUGUGAUAUAGUAAGAAAUAGGUGGAUUUCGUCUUUGUACUGUUUCUGGCACAAGAGCUGCUGAAACACUUGCAACUUCCGGGUGGGGUAAGAGGAGCAGCUAUCGUUGUUCAGAACAAGCCCUACUUCAAAGCUCGUGCUGAUAAAGUGACUCUUGGAGGUUUGGGGCUGGUUUGCCAGAGGAAUGAACCUUGAGAUUCAAGACUGGAGCUUUCAGGACUUCCCUAGGGGUCCAGUGGCUAAGACUCGGCAAUUCCAAUGCAGGGAACGGGGCGGCACAAGUUCAAUCCCUGGUUGGGUGAGGGAACUAACGUGCUGCCUGGGAUGCAGCCAAAAAAAAAAAAGAUUGGAGCUUUCAACCUCAUCCCCACACUGCCAGGGAGAGGAGGGGGUGGAGGUUGCAUUCAGUCACCAAUAGUCAGUGAUUUAAUCAAACAUGGAAUGUCCGUAAAACCCUAACAACAGGUUUUGGAGGCUGUCGGGUUGGGGAACACACCAAGGGAAGGGUGGGGUUCAAGAGAAGGCAGGAGAGAUCUGUGUGCCCCCUCCCAGGCCUCCCCUCACCACUCUACAUACGCCCUCUCCAGGAAUCUCUUCCAUCUGGUUGUGAGUUGUAUCCUUUAUAGGAAACUGGCAAAUACACGGAAACUGUUUCCCUGAGAUCUGCGGAGUCAGUCUAGCACUCUGAUGACCCUGAGGAGGCAGUCGUGGGAACCCCUGAUUGAUGGCUAGUACGUCGGAAGCGCAGCAGGCCUGUGACUGGUAACUGGAGUCUAAUUGGAGGCAGUUUUGAGGAGUUGAGCCCUGAACUUGAGGGCUGUGACUCUAGCUCCAGGGAGAUAGUGAUGGGAUCGAAGUGAAUUCUAGGAUACCCAGACUGUGUCCAGAAAGUCGGAGCAUAGAUUGCAUGCUGCAUGCUCAGUUGCUCAGUCGUGUCCAACUCUUUGCAACCCCAUGGACUAUAGCCCACCAGGCUCCUCUGUCCACGGGAUUCUCCUGGACAGAUUCUGGAGUAGGCUACCAUUUCCUUCUACGGGGAAUCUUCCUAGCCCAGGAUCCCCCAUCUCCUGUACUGGCAGGUAGAUUCUUUACCCUGAGCCACUAGGAAGUCACUAUGUCCAUAGGCUGAGAAUAACACGGAUGACACCUUUCUGUGCCUCUCUUCCAUCUCUGCAUUUAGAGAUAGCAACUUGGGAGCUUGAAGCUGGCCGUGAUGGGAGUAUUGACACCACAGAAAUCAGGGACCUUUACACAUUAGAGCUUUCAAUAGCCCCAGAGAGCCAGUUGUUAGACAUCUUCCAGCACACUGUGGAGAAAGAGGGUGAUGCUGUCAUCUUGGCAGACAGAAAGGAGGAAAGGACAGCACACUCAGGUAGAUUUGUGGGCUUCAUGGUGAGACAAUGAGGCUUUUUUUUCCCUGUCGACUUCCACUUUUCUCUGAAGUCAGCUGCUUGCAUGAAGAAGCCGAACAGGACAGAAGCCUAGAGCCAUGGAUCCAAACCAGCUCAGCUUAGAAACCGAAGUGAUGGGAGGUGCAGAGCAGAGCAAGGGGAUGCAAGGCCCGCGGGAAUGGAUAAAUAGGAAGAGCUGAGAAGGCAGGGGAGGACGCGUACCACCUGGGCAGGGCGGAAAGCUGGGGAGAGGGAUGUGCGCAUGGGCGUUCAGAGCGCUGCCUUUUGACAGGGUCUGAUGCGCGGGCCCUGCGCUGCAGGCGUGGCGACCGAGAUACGCUUGGACCUUGUCCUGCAUUCUGGGAUUCACGUUGGAGGAACCUGUUUCUUCAUCUGUAAAAGGCUAUCAGUCAGUUCAACGAGUCAAUCGUGUCUGACUCUUUGCGACCACGUGGACUGCAGCACGCCAGGCUUCCCUGUCCAUUGCCACUAUAAAGUGAUAUAAGCAAUGAAAACACAUGUAACGUGCCCAAGUCAGAGAACGUUCUUGAAAUGUUUGCUUUCCUCCCACCGAACGCCCCACCUCACUUUCUCCCACCGGAACACCCAGGUCUCCUGAUCCCCACGUGCACACAUGUUCAGAAACGCUAAAAGAACCACCGUUUCUCCACUUCCAUCCAGACUCCUCUUUAGCAGAGGCGGUUUUAAAGUCAUGUGUUAUUAGAAAUCUUAUAAUGUACAGUUUGUAAACGGCAAGUCAGAAAUUGGAAGCUCAGGCCAGGAUCCUGAGACUGCCUGUCCGACAGCAGAGGCAUCAGAGAAUGCACUCAUUCAUAAGCUCGCCAGAGAGACGAGGUGGAAAAGACACUGACGUACAGACAGGAAGUGCAGACAAGGCUAAUUCGUUGCCACUGAAGCUUGCUGAGCGUGGUCUGGCUGUGACGUAAAUUAUUCAUGCAUUCCCCACGGCACCCUUGUGUUGAAGGCUGAUGUCAGGACAGGACCCCGAGUUCCUCUUCUGCCCCCGCCAGAGCUGAGCCGCGGUGUACAGAGUCGACACACCAUCCAUCCUAAAAUCCACUCUGUCCUCCAAGGGGGCCCACAGUGCAAGGCUGGCCAGUGCAACUAGGCUUCCUUGUCCAACUGCCAGAGACAGAUGGAUUCAUUCAGUUGCCAGCCCAAUACCCCCUGAUAAUGGUGAUAAUGUCUGGAAUUGAUUUAUGGUGCUCCUCUUGCCAUGAGAACGCAGUGGAGGCUGGACUGUUAUCGGUAAAGUCACAAAUUGACUUACUGUCCAUAGAGAGCAGAUCCAGACCAUUUCUUUAUUGACGAAGUCGACAUUUUGAGAACUACAAGACAGCUGGAGAAGAUACUAAGGCACUUGUGGGGCUUCCUGGGGCAAAGACUCCGCGCUCCCAGUACAGGGGACCUGGGCUCGAUCGCUGGUCAGGGAACUACGUCCCCUAUGGCACAACCACAAGUUCACGGGGCACAGCUAAGGAUCCUGCGUGUCACGGCGAAGACCGAAGGUGCUGUGUGCUGCAGCUGAGACCAGUGCGGUCAAAUGCAUAAAUAUAAAUGAGUAUUUUUAAAAAGAUUCUGAAGCACUUUUUAAGGAACUGGAAGAAGACAGCUGUCUUUUCAGGAAAUGAACUGAGAAACGCUGGGUGAAGCAACGUUAGCGUCUACUCGCGUGGAAACCCAGGCACGCGGCAGCUUGUCCACCAGGUCUGUACUCUGGGGUCACACCUGGAGCACUCGUAACCGUGCUGAUGGCAGGGAUCAGAC
ensembl:lncRNA